rnacentral:rRNA from 1 species
GAGUGAACGCUGGCGGUAGGCCUAACACAUGCAAGUCGAACGGCAGCACAGUAAGAGCUUGCUCUUACGGGUGGCGAGUGGCGGACGGGUGAGGAAUACAUCGGAAUCUACUUUUUCGUGGGGGAUAACGUAGGGAAACUUACGCUAAUACCGCAUACGACCUACGGGUGAAAGCAGGGGAUCUUCGGACCUUGCGCGAUUGAAUGAGCCGAUGUCGGAUUAGCUAGUUGGCGGGGUAAAGGCCCACCAAGGCGACGAUCCGUAGCUGGUCUGAGAGGAUGAUCAGCCACACUGGAACUGAGACACGGUCCAGACUCCUACGGGAGGCAGCAGUGGGGAAUAUUGGACAAUGGGCGCAAGCCUGAUCCAGCCCUACCGCGUGGGUGAAGAAGGCCUUCGGGUUGUAAAGCCCUUUUGUUGGGAAAGAAAAGCAGCAGGUUAAUACCCCGCUGUUCUGACGGUACCCAAAGAAUAAGCACCGGCUAACUUCGUG